rnacentral:rRNA from 1 species
AUUGAACGCUGGCGGCAUGCCUUACACAUGCAAGUCGAACGGUAACAGGUCUACGGAUGCUGACGAGUGGCGAACGGGUGAGUAAUACAUCGGAACGUGCCUAGUAGUGGGGGAUAACUACUCGAAAGAGUGGCUAAUACCGCAUGAGAUCUACGGAUGAAAGCAGGGGAUCGCAAGACCUUGUGCUACUAGAGCGGCCGAUGGCAGAUUAGGUAGUUGGUGGGAUAAAAGCUUACCAAGCCGACGAUCUGUAGCUGGUCUGAGAGGACGAUCAGCCAUACUGGGACUGAGACACGGCCCAGACUCCUACGGGAGGCAGCAGUGGGGAAUUUUGGACAAUGGGCGCAAGCCUGAUCCAGCAAUGCCGCGUGCAGGAUGAAGGCCUUCGGGUUGUAAACUGCUUUUGUACGGAACGAAAAGCCCUGGGUUAAUACCCUGGGGUCAUGACGGUACCGUAAGAAUAAGCACCGGCUAACUACGUGCCAGCAGCCGCCGCGGUAA